GAUGAACGCUGGCGGCGUGCCUAAUACAUGCAAGUCGAGCGAACAGACGAGGAGCUUGCUCCUCUGACGUUAGCGGCGGACGGGUGAGUAACACGUGGAUAACCUACCUAUAAGACUGGGAUAACUUCGGGAAACCGGAGCUAAUACCGGAUAAUAUAUUGAACCGCAUGGUUCAAUAGUGAAAGACGGUUUUGCUGUCACUUAUAGAUGGAUCCGCGCCGCAUUAGCUAGUUGGUAAGGUAACGGCUUACCAAGGCAACGAUGCGUAGCCGACCUGAGAGGGUUAACCGCCACACUGGAACUGGAACCCGGUCCAGACUCCUACGGGAGGCCGCAGUAGGGAAUCUUCCGAAAUGGGCGAAAGCCUGACGGAGCAACGCCGGGGGAGGUAUGAAGGGUUUCGGAUCCUAAAACCCUUUUAUUAGGGAAGAACAAAUGUGUAAGUAACUAUGCACGUCUUGACGGUACCUAAUCAGAAAGCCACGGCUAACUACGUG
rnacentral:rRNA from 1 species